ensembl:lncRNA
UUUUCCCUCAUUUCAAAAGAUAGUUCUUCAAUUUAGGAUAAACCUGCAGACGUCUGUCGAUUCAGCUGUUGAAAUAUAUCAUCAAAAGAUCACUGUUCUUGAGUAGAUCAGAAAUCAUCAGAAUACAGAAAAUGCCAAUUCCAUACGAAAGUUUGCAUGGCAGCCAAUGCUCUCCAAGGAAGCGUGCAGGUGUUGUGACCAUCGUUUUUGCAAUCGGAGCUCUGACUGUACUGGGUGACAUACUAGCCGUGACUGUGUUGGAACGGCCCCAACCUGCUCACAACGGGACACUUCCUGCGAAUAACGUGUCUGCUGAGAAUGCUUCGACUGAC